GACGAACGCUGGCGGCGUGCUUAACACAUGCAAGUCGAACGGCAAGGCCCUGCUUUUGUGGGGUGCCCGAGUGGCGAACGGGUGAGUAACACGUGAGUAACCUGCCCUUGACUUUGGGAUAACUUCAGGAAACUGGGGCUAAUACCGGAUCGGAGCUCCUGCUGCAUGGUGGGGGUUGGAUCGUUUCGGCGGUUGGGGAUGGACUCGCGGCUUAUCAGCUUGUUGGUGGGGUAGUGGCUUACCAAGGCUUUGGCGGGUAGCCGGCCUGAGUGGGUGACCGGCGACAUUGGUACUGAGAGACGGCCCAGACUCCUACGGGAGGCAGCAGUGGGAAAUAUUGCACAAUGGGCGCAAGCCGGAUGCAGCAACGCCGCGUGCGGGAUGACGGCCUUCGGGUUGUAAACCGCUUCAGCCUGUGACGAAGCGGGAGUGACGGUAAUGGAUAAAGAAGCACCGGCUAACUACGUG
rnacentral:rRNA from 1 species